rnacentral:rRNA from 1 species
GUGCAGCAGGCGAGCAUACUUCACACUGUGCGAAGCACGAUGAGGGAAUCCCAAGUGCUUGCACGUAAGUGUAAGCUGUUUCUCUGUCUAAAACGCAGAGAGAGUAAGGGCUGGGUAAGACGGGUGCCAGCCGCCGCGGUAAUACCUGCAGCUCAAGUGGUGACCGUUAUUAUUGGGGCCUAAAACGUCCGUAGCCGGUUUAAUAAAUGCCUGGGUAAAUUGUGUAGCUUAACUAUACGAAUUCCGGGUAGACUGUUAAACUUGAGACCGGGAGAAGUUAGAGGUACUCCUGGGGUAGAGGUGAAAUUCUGUAAUCCUAGGGGGACCACCAGUGGCGAAGGCGUCUAACUAGAACGGGUCUGACGGUGAGGGACGAAGCCCUGGGGCGCAAAACGGGAUUAGGAUACCCCCGGUAGU